AGUGAACGCUGGCGGUAGGCCUAACACAUGCAAGUCGAACGGCAGCACAGUAAGAGCUUGCUCUUACGGGUGGCGAGUGGCGGACGGGUGAGGAAUACAUCGGAAUCUACUUUUUCGUGGGGGAUAACGUAGGGAAACUUACGCUAAUACCGCAUACGACCUACGGGUGAAAGCAGGGGAUCUUCGGACCUUGCGCGAUUGAAUGAGCCGAUGUCGGAUUAGCUAGUUGGCGGGGUAAAGGCCCACCAAGGCGACGAUCCGUAGCUGGUCUGAGAGGAUGAUCAGCCACACUGGAACUGAGAAACGGUCCAGACUCCUACGGGAGGCAGCAGUGGGGAAUAUUGGACAAUGGGCGAAAGCCUGAUCCAGCCAUACCGCGUGAGUGAAGAAGGCCUUCGGGUUGUAAAGCCCUUUUGUUGGGAAAGAAAAGCAGCAGGUUAAUACCCCGCUGUUCUGACGGUACCCAAAGAAUAAGCACCGGCUAACUUCGUG
rnacentral:rRNA from 1 species